CGCAGCUUGUUAGAAUAAAGCUUCAUGCCCCUUCACCAUGCUCAAAAAAAUCUAACUGGGAAGCCGUUGGACUGGGCUGGCUCUGGCACUUUCAACUCCUUUGUGAACUGAGGCCCAACGUAGACAGCAAACCGAACCUAGAAACUGCCCCUCCGGAAUCACAUCCGACCUGCAGCCGGGAACUCUGCCAGCCAGCGGCGAGCUGUCUUCGUCUUGCAGCGACUUUAGAGCGGCGCCCUGACCCACGGCUUUAUUUCCCAUGGGUUCAGUUACCCACAGUCGACUGGGGUCGGAAAACAUUAAGAUUUUGAGAGAGAGACAAUUCAGAAAAAAAAUUUGCUAUCUUCUGCUCAGUGGCCUUUUUCCAUCUCUGAAGGUCAUCACCACCACUGAAGCGAUCGCAAGGGAGAGAACGUCCUGAGAUUCUCUCGUCAGGACUCGAUAGCAGUGGCUGUCAGGAAGGGCCAAACUCAGCGCCAGCAUCUCCGCUUCGCGGUCACACCGGAUGAGAAGGCUUUCCUGAAUCUUGGCUUGAAAAGACUUCUGUUCUUGGCAUAAUGAAACACAUACUGUAUCUACCAAUAAAACCAAACGUCUGAAUCAAA